GAUGAAGAACGCAGCGAAAUGCGAUAAGUAAUGUGAAUUGCAGAAUUCAGUGAAUCAUCGAAUCUUUGAACGCAUCUUGCGCUCCUUGGUAUUCUGAGGAGCAUGCCUGUUUGAGUGUCAUUAAAUUCUCAACUACACUGACUUUGAAUUGGUGUGGCUUGGAUUUGGGGGGAAAAUUGUUGUGGGCUUUUUGUAUAGUCUGCUCCCCUGAAAUUGAUUAGCGGUACCUUUGUGGAACUGUCUACAGGUGUGAUAAUUACCUACAUCUUAGACAUCUGCUGGAAUGCUGCUUUCUAAACCUUACUUGUAUUGACAAUCUUGACCUCAAAUCAGGUAGGACUACCCGCUGAACUUAAGCAUAUCAAUAAGCGGAGGA
rnacentral:misc_RNA from 1 species